GCUGCGAUGGCCGAGUGGUUAAGGCGUUGGACUCGAAAUCGAAUGGGAUUUCCCGCGUUGGUUCGAAUCCUGUUCGCAGUG
rnacentral:tRNA from 1 species